AAGACCGCUUUGAAACAGACACUUUCACGUGUGCAUAUGACAAGGCAUAAACUUUUGGCGAGUAUUACAUAUCCAUUAAAAUGGCCAUAAUGUAUGGCAUCUCUAAUUUGGAAAGGAAUUUCAGAUUCUUAGCCAAAAAAGAAUCUCACUUGAACUUUACUUUCCUGAGCCCGACAGAUGUCAGAGAGAUGUGCUCAUUGAAACUCUAAAGGAUGUUUGUUUCUUUUAAUAGCAUAGCAGAAAAAUUAAUGGCGUGGGGGAGGGUGAAAUGACAACUUAACUUGAUGCUGGAGAGCUGUUUACUUAUCAUUGUGUGCCCAGAUUUCAGUGUCUUGUAAAAGAAAGGGGGAAAUAAAGAAACCACAGCCUUCAUCUGGCUUUUAGGGAACUUAGGACACAUGGAAGAAAGCGCUUGGAAGGCUAUUGAAAUAUUUACAAAACAAAUCAUUUACGUUUAACUUUUGUAUAUGUAAAACCCGGAGAGCUGCCUACAAAGACAGAGGCAACUUUAGUUAUGAGAUAUUUUGGCAUCAAAAUGGUUAAUAGUAUUAUAGCUUCAAAAGAGCCUAUUGGCUCACCCUCAAGGAUGCCCUGCAGUUGUUGUUAAAGUCAUCACAUGAAGCUAGCCUGCUCAGCUAGCCUUUAGAUUUGUCUGCUAACAGUAAAAAUACUAUAAUAAAUCGGUAACAUAUGUUGCCAGGCAAGGAAAAGUGAUAUAAAUAAAGAGACCAGGAGACCCAAACCAAGUACAAUGUGAAAAGAAUUUAACUUUCAAUCUCUGCGUUGGUUAAUUACCAUUUGAAAAGUCAUUUGAAAGUGUUACUCUUAUUUGCUUAUAUUCUUCCUCAUUUUUUUUUUUUUUCUCUUCAGAUUGCAUUCUUACCCAAAUACUCUUCGUGAUGGCCUGCUUUGCGGCUUUGGGAUUCUUUAGGGAAUGGAGAUCAGUUUCAUGGAUGACAUCCCAGUUUUCUCAUCAUCAGAAAAGAAAAAAAUCCUCUGGCCAGUGGAAGAAACAGUCACCAAAACGUGAAACAGCCUGGUGAGACAGCAAUAUUCAACUACGAAAAGACCAACAGCAUUGGUCAUGCCAUAUUGUACCUGUCUUUCGGUGUUCCUGCUGCCCACAGGCCUGGAAGCUUCAGACGGACAGGAUCUUGCAUUUUGGCUACUCCUGCACAUGGCCCAGAGUCUGGUAACCAGAAUGAACUUGAGUUGCGGUUAAACAGACAUGCGAAUCCUGCACCCCCACUCCAAGCACUGAGUAUAUCUUCCAGAACCAUAGCCUCUGCCUGGGGGAGGACUGAGCCUGCCCAGCAAGCUCACCGCAAGCUGGGAGAAGCCCAGACUCUGCAGGCACGUGGUUCUGCAGAACGAGCCCUGGAUGGACUCAGGCAGGCACACCCAGUGAUCUCUCCUAGAUUCAACAAUCAGGCCAGCAGCUGGUGUGACACUAAAUCUUCCCAGAGAAACAUAAACCCAGGAAAUGACAGCCUUGUCCCUAGCAUUGGCCUCAAUGCUCAUUGACAUAUCGAAGAAACUAAAGGGUGAAAGGAGGUGAUGGUUAAUUUUAUGCAUCACCUUGGCUGGAUGAUGGUGUCCAGUUAUUUGGUCAAACACUAGUCUAGAUGUUGCUUGAAGGUAGUUUUUAAAGGUGGUUAAAAUUUAACUCAAAAUAUUCCGAGUAAAGCAAAUUGCCCCCCAUGGUAUGGGUGGGUCUUAUCCAAUCAGUUGAAGGCCUUAAGCACAAGGACUGAGGUUUCCUGAAGAAGAAAUUCUCCUCAAGACGGCAACAUCGACUCUUACCUGAUUUUCCAACCUGCCUUACAGACUGCAGCCUUGCCAGUCCCACAACUGCAUGAAUCACUUCCUUCUCUCAAUCUCUCUUUCUAUUGUGUGUCUGUGUGUGUAUUCGCCUUCUGGUUCUGUUUCUCUGGAGAACCCUGCCGAUACAACCGACUAUGUUGAAUCUGUAGCAGAAGAGGUAGGGUGAUGGCCAUGAAAGCCAUGUUCGAGUUUCUAAUGGGUUCUCUAGGAUGAGGUCUUGGGCUUAUUUAAUGUGUCACAUCACUCUGACUAUCUUGAGAUGCUUGAGUAUCUGAGAUGCUUUAGAUAGUGCCUGAUGGGUCUUAUCAGUGGUGCUACAGAAAAGACGCUCAUGUUACAAGAAAGCUGAAUCAGAUGGCUGCCUGCUAGGGGUACUUCAAACUGUUUUGAGGACACUGACAUUAUCUAAUGCUUCUGUUAAAUAAUUAUAAUGUGAUCCCCCCCCCUACAUUUUAACAUUUGUGACGUUCUUUCAUGUCUAUUAAUUUACUGGUUUUCCCAUACCGCAUAGCACAUAACUAGGCAAUUAUGAAACUGAGUUGAGAGUGUAAUAAUGGCAAAUUAAGAACCAAAUUUCAACUUUAAAUUAACUUGUAUUUCUCUGUUUUCUUCCCUCUGCUUUGUCCCUAUGUAUUUCUUUUAAAGUACUCAUUUUUUAUGACCAGCAUGUUAAUAAUGUUCUAUUAUUCCUUGGUUAUUUAAUUAUAAAUUAAAAUACAUAACUCACAGGAUUUCUGACCAGAACAAAGCAAGAAAUGAAAAUACAAACGAGAAAGUAACCUAAUUUGGAAAUAACAUUUCCCUGAAGUCAAUUACAUUGUUUUCAUAGGAAACACAACUGGAAGGAGGAAUCUGUCUGUUAAGUUCAUCCAGAAGAAGAAAAGAGGUAGUGGAAUAUAAAAAAGCACUGGCUUUUUAACUGCUAAUGAACACCAGCUUUAUCAUUUCUAGGGAGGAGGAGUUUGCUUUUAGUUUUCCUCUUCCAGUGAAACAUUUUACUGCCUCCUGCCUAGCAAAGGGACUUGGACUUGAACCUGAGACUUGAGACCAUGUAAAUAGCUGGUCUGGAAAUUUCUAGCCGAUUCCAUCCCCUGUCCCUCUCGCAUGGUUACAUGCCCUCCCUUUUCCCUCUGAAUUAUCCUGUCAACAUUCUUGGUCUUGCCAGCGUGGCCACAGCCUGUCCCAAAUGCAUUGAAUGUGUGUAUAUAAACGUGGGAGUGAGGUGGGGCUGGGGCUUUGGGGGAUGGAAGUGAUUACGGGGAAAGGCCAGUUCAGAGAGCUCUGGGCUCCUGACUGCAGUAACCCAGUGAACAGGGCAGGUGUAAUUUCUCAGGCCUGUCUUUAUCAGUCUGUAGACCUGGAUUCCUGGAACAUCCUCCCUCUUGAUCUGCAGAGCAGGGAUGGGUCAGCCUGGGCCUCGCUGCAGUAUGGCCUCAGGGUGUCCAGGCUGAGGCCAAGAUGGGUACUUGCUUGCUGGUAUGGGGUGCAUGGGUAUUCUCCCACCCCCUUCCCAUCAGGAAGGACUGGGGUGAGCCUGGGGGCCUGAAUGGGAGUCCCAGACCCGCUUCUAUUGGGCUGGGUGACCUUGGGCAAGUCUCAUCUUCUCUGGGCCAUCUGUGGAUGGAUGGGUCAGACGGUGGCCACUUGGGGACAGGGAGCCAAGAUGGCGCUGACCACACCGACCUCCUCGCUCCCCUUACCUGCUAUUGUGCACUGAGGACUUAGCGGGAGAUGUGUCCUCCCACCAAUGGCCUCUCCCACCAGAAAAACAAGUUUUUAUAAAGUGAGUGAUUUCUAGGUUCAUGUCCAGCUCUGAAAUCGCCAGGCAGGCCUCGACGCAGCGUCCUCAAUUUGAAGCCCUCUGGUGAUUGGGUUUAUACAUCCUUUCAAAGGUCUGGAACCCUCCUCUGAAGAUGUGUUUUCUGGUGGUGGGUUUAGCAACUCUAUUUUUUCCCCCUUAAUCUAUUUCCUUUUACAAAGAACAAAUGCCCCCAAGUACAAUUUGCACCCAGAUUACUAGACUCUCAACUUAAAACAUUACCAAAAGCUAUAAUUUAGAAAUUCUUUUAUCUAUCCCGAGCUAAUAGCAGUUUUGCAUGUCUUGAUAUUGUUUUCAUAUGCUUCCUUAGCCCCCUCCCCUUCGGUUAUUAUCUCUGGAAUAUGUGCGGGCUUGUUUAAUUUUAGUGCUGAAUUUGGGAUAUGGAAGAGAUUACUCUUAAUUAUAUUAUUUAUUGAAAUGUAAUAUCUUUAUAAGGACCUUCUGUGCUACAGAAGCAGUAUGCUUUUUUGGGAGGACAUUGCAGAAAGUUUGCAGAGGUGAGGAUCUGAAUGAAAUAGGAUCUAAAGCCCCAGGAAGGAUCUAUUCCUCAGCAUCUCCAGACCAAAUUCUCAGAUACUUCCCUCAUCACGAAACACUCACCUUGGCCUAGUAGCCAACCAGUUCAGUACUGUUUUUCUCCAAUUCAAGGAACCCCUUAGGCCUUUUCUAAAACAAUUGCCCAGGGAGAUUAAUGCAUAUUGAAUUGGGUUGAGUUGAUUGGGUAUUUUCCCUCUUGUUGGCCUGGUGAUUGUGAUCCUGUCUCUCAACCUGCACCAGGCAGAACCAGAGCCCACAUGACUUUAUUUAUUUCUUUAGUCUUUUUAGGGCUGCACCUCCAGCAUAUGGAAGUUCCCAGGCUAGGGGUCAAAUCG